CUCACCUGACCCUUCCCGGGGCUCUUUGCCUCUGCAUGGAGGGGGCUGGCAGGUUGAUUGGCGUGCACUUGGAACAGCUACUUCACAGCAACAAGCACUUGGCAAAUUGGGACAUUGUAACAAAUGGACAAGAUCAAGGACUUGUGCAGAGUGGGACUAAGGACCACCACGGAAUGGCUGCAUAACUGAACUUGGGACAAAAUUUGGUGACACUUUCGAAGAGGAAGAAAGGACCAAAGCGCUAUUGGACGACACAGAAUAGAUCACAGGGUUUGCUUCAAACCAACGGAAACCACGGGGCAGCAUUCUCUCCUGCAUAGACAGAUCUUCCAGGGGGAUU